AAAGCUUUAGCUUAAUUAAAGUAUCUGAUUUGCAUUCAGGAGAUGUGGGAUAAUGGCCCGCAAGUUUUA
rnacentral:tRNA from 1 species